UACUGCCCUUGACUUUGGGAUAACUUCAGGAAACUGGGGCUAAUACCGGAUAGGAGCUCCUGCUGCAUGGUGGGGGUUGGAAAGUUUCGGCGGUUGGGGAUGGACUCGCGGCUUAUCAGCUUGUUGGUGGGGUAGUGGCUUACCAAGGCUUUGACGGGUAGCCGGCCUGAGAGGGUGACCGGCCACAUUGGGACUGAGAUACGGCCCAG
rnacentral:rRNA from 1 species